GUAUCUCUUCACCACUAAAAUUCCCUGAAAGAGUGUCUUUUUUCUUCUCUUUCUCUAUCUUAUUUCCUUUUUCCAUCCUUAGAGCUGGCUUUUUACACUGCAUAGUCUCUUCACUAUCCAGGAUUCCCUGACCUUCCUGACCUUGGUCAAUAUGUGCAGGGGGAAUUAUGGCACCUCUUUAUAUGGAUUUCACUGAGAUUCCAAGAUGAUCAACUUGGAAAAUGGAUUUCAAGUGCCUUGAAAUAUAUAAAACAUGAGGACAGCAGUCAAAUAUUAUCAAUGAAAUGAUAAG
rnacentral:lncRNA from 1 species